rnacentral:sRNA from 12 species
GCCGGGCUGCUGUAAAAGCGCAAGCCAAUGCGCUUUCCCUAGAGGGUUGGCAGCAAGCGGUAUCAUGCUGAAAGGCAGGGGUACCGCGGAAACAGCCGGGGAACCGGCAAA